UGUUACUACAAAAUGUGUUGUUGCGGUAGGUUUUUCUGUGACGGUUGUUGUGGUAGGUUUUUCUGUGACGGUUGUUGUAGUAGGUUUUUCUGUGACUGUUGUCGUGGUAGGUUUUUCUGUGACUGUUGUCGUGGAAGG